rnacentral:rRNA from 1 species
UGAGGAAUAUUGGUCAAUGGGCGCAAGCCUGAACCAGCCAUCCCGCGUGAAGGAAGAAUGCGCUACGCGUUGUAAACUUCUUUUCCAGGGGGAGAAUUUUCCUGUCGAGACAGGGGUUGACGGUACCCUGGGAAUAAGCAUCGGCUAACUCCGUGCCAGCAGCCGCGGUAAUACGGAGGAUGCGAGCGUUAUCCGGAUUUAUUGGGUUUAAAGGGUGCGUAGGCGGAUUGAUAAGUCAGUGGUGAAAUUCUGCAGCUUAACUGUAGACUUGCCGUUGAUACUGUUAGUCUUGAGUGUGGUCAAGGCAGGCGGAAUGUGUAUGUAGCGGUGAAAUGCUUAGAUAUUACACAGAACACCGAUUGCGACGGCAGCUUGCUGGGUCAUUACUGACGCUGCUGCACGAAAGC